rfam:Brassica napus, WGS project CCCW01000000 data, contig: 3053
GGUGCAAGUGACGAUGAAAAGACAGGGACAUCAGAGAUUCUCCGAUUAGGAGAAUCUAAAAUGAUGACUAAUGUCUAAAUGGGAAUCUCUCUGAUGCACU